rnacentral:ncRNA from 1 species
ACAGUACAAACUGAUCAGGCGGUUUACCUCCAGUGGUUUUUGCAGCCGGGCCCUUUGGGCAGCAGACUAAAAAUUAACGUCUGCGGGACAGU